GAAAGUUGAAAAGAACUUUGAAGAGAGAGUUCAAGAGUACGUGAAACCGUUCAGGGGUAAACCUGAGAAACCCAAAAGAUCGAAUGGGGAGAUUCAUCGUCAGCGGCGUUGGCUUCCGUGUGGACUGCGAUGUCCGGGACCUCGGUUCCGUGUCACGCGUUCGCUGCGGUAUGUCCGGCGUCGUCGGCGUGCACUUCUCCCCUAGUAGGACGUCGCGACCCGUUGGGUGCCGGCCUACGGCCCGGCUGGUCGACUGUCGCGUCGCGUUCACGCGUGCACGCGGCAGACCACCGGUCGCCCGGCCGGCUGCCCGGCGGUAUAGAUCGCUAUAAAACGGUAUUGGGCCGCAUUAAGUGCGUUCUGGCCCGUCGGCAGACACGUCUCGCUCGGAUUUACGGACCUAGCGCCGUUGUCGGGUGCUUGGCGUGUUGUUAGUCGACGGUGUCCUCGGACUGGCUCUUACAUUCGAACGGAUUUACCGGUCGGCGACGCUACUGCUUUGGGUACUUUCAGGACCCGUCUUGAAACACGGA
rnacentral:rRNA from 1 species